UACACACCGCCCGUCACACCAUGGGAGUGGGUUUCACCAGAAAGCCGUUUGCCUAACCGCAAGGAGGGCGGCGACCACGGUGAGAUUCAUGACUGGGGUG
rnacentral:rRNA from 1 species